UGUAUAAAUCUGAUUCCUUGAAAUUGAUGGGACUUCCUUUGUGGCUUAGUACAUUAUGAAUAUAUGGAAAUGUUCAAUUUGUACUGGAGCAGCAGUAUGUCUACAUGCUAUUUGUUAGGUGCAGGGUACCUACACACAUAUAAUAAUCCUGUACCAUGCCAUUUUGAUUACUGUAACAAUGUAGUAUAAUUUGAGUCAGGUAUGUGAUGCCUCCAUCAUUAGUUGAUGCAGUUUCUUCCUAGUCUCGAUGGUCUUUACAUUUUGGCAUGAUUUUGCAGCAGCUGGUACCGGUUGUUCCUUUCUAUGUUUAGCACUUCCUUCAGGAGCUCUUUUAGGUCAGGCCUGGUGGUGACAAAAUCUCUCAGCAUUUGCUUGU
rnacentral:lncRNA from 10 species